GGUAGCCGGCCUGAGAGGGCGACCGGCCACAUUGGGACUGAGACACGGCCCAAACUCCUACGGAAGGCAGCAG
rnacentral:rRNA from 1 species